rnacentral:rRNA from 1 species
UACGAAGGGGGCUAGCGUUGCUCGGAAUCACUGGGCGUAAAGCGCACGUAGGCGGCUUUUUAAGUCAGGGGUGAAAUCCUGGAGCUCAACUCCAGAACUGCCUUUGAUACUGAGAGUCUUGAGUCCGGGAGAGGUGAGUGGAACUGCGAGUGUAGAGGUGAAAUUCGUAGAUAUUCGCAAGAACACCAGUGGCGAAGGCGGCUCACUGGCCCGGUACUGACGCUGAGGUGCGAAAGCGUGGGGAGCAAACAGG